rnacentral:sRNA from 1 species
AUUAGUUAGUUGAUCCCUUGAGUGGUCUACCUUAGCCAUACCAAAGCUGGAAUCUGUCAUUAACUUGUCCCUGGUCAUAAUUAUGAAGGUUAUA